rnacentral:sRNA from 1 species
GCCACACCUAGCCCGCGAUUAGCUACCAAAGGCGAAAACAGGGCAAUCCCUAGUCUUGUUGGUGUGGUUUUCUAUUUUGCAGGG